rnacentral:lncRNA from 1 species
CCUGCCUCUACAGAUUCAAAUGAUGUCCAUGAUGAGAAGGUCAAAGUGUUAAAAUGUAUCUCAGAGGUGGAAAUUGACAACGUGGUCCUUGGCCAGUAUGUGGGGAACCCCAGUGGAGAAGGAGAAGGUACCAAUGGGUACUUAGAUAACCCCACAGUACCCCAUGGGUCUACCACUGCUACCUUAGCAGCAGCUGUCCUCUAUGUGGAGAAUGAACAGUGGGAUGGAGUACCCUUCAU